GAUGAACGCUAGCUACAGGCUUAACACAUGUAAGUCGAGGGGCAGCGGGAGCUUAGCUUGCUAAGUUUGCCGGCGACCGGCGCACGGGUGAGUAACACGUAUCCAACCUGGCCCAUACUCGGGUAUAGCCUCUCGAAAGGGAGAUUAAUCCCCGAUGUUGUUGUUUCACCGCAUGGUGUAUCAACCACAGAGAUUCGGUAUGGGAUGGGGAUGCGUUCCAUUAGGUAGUAGGCGGGGUAACGGCCCACCUAGCCGACGAUGGGUAGGGGUUCUGAGAGGAAGGUCCACCACACUGGAACUGAGACACGGCCCAGACUCCUACGAGAGGCAGCAGUGAGGAAUAUUGGUCAAUGGCCGAGAGGCUGAACCAGCCAAGUAGCGUGAAGGAUGACUGCCCUAUGGGUUGUAAACUUCUUUUAUAUGGGAAUAAAGUGCUUUACGUGUAGAGUUUUGUAUGUACCAUAUGAAUAAGCAUCGGCUAAUUCCGUGCCAGCAGCCGCAGUAAUAC
rnacentral:rRNA from 1 species